rnacentral:rRNA from 1 species
AACAAACGCUGGCGGCGUGCCUAACACAUGCAAGUCGUACGAGAAAGGGUCCUUCGGGGCCUGAGUAAAGUGGCGCACGGGUGAGUAACGCGUGGAUAAUCUGCCCUUCAGUUGGGACUAACUCAUCUAAAGGUGGGCUAAUACCGAAUAAUGCUGUGAGACCUCGGUUGAUCAGCCAAAGAGAGCCUCUGCUUGCAAGCCCUCGCUGAAGGAUGCGUCCGCGUACCAUUAGCUAGUUGGUAGGGUAAUGGCCUACCAAGGCGACGAUGGUUAGCUGGUCUGAGAGGAUGAUCAGCCACACUGGAACUGAGACACGGUCCAGACUCCUACGGGAGGCAGCAGUGAGGAAUCUUGCGCAAUGGGGGCAACCCUGACGCGGCAACGCCGCGUGAGUGAGGAAGGUCUUCGGAUCGUAAAGCUCUGUCGGAUGGAAGGAACCGCAUAGGGGUAAACAGCCCCUGUGUCUGACGGUACCAUCAAAGGAAGCACCGGCUAACUCCGUGCCAGCCGCCGCCGUAACAC